UUAGAAUACUUCGAAACCUGGCAUUCGUUGAAUGCUUCCUCUUUAUUGCUUACAACUCCUGAUCCUGAGCAGCUGAAGAAUCAAUUGCAGAGCGGGGACUUUCUACUCGCAGCUUUAAUGGCUUCACGUUGCUCCAAUGAGCAGAUCUUUGCCAAGCUGCCUAGGCAGGGAAGGUGAAUACACGUUCUGCAUGAAAAGGUGUAAGCAUAGAACCUAGCUUUCAGUUUGGAUGGACUCCCCUGAUGUGUGCUGCCAGUGUGGCUGAUUUUGCAGUGGUGCGUCUCCUUCUGGACAGAGGUGCCAAUGCAUGCUUUGAAAUAGACAAGUACACAGUGCUGAUGGCAGCGUGUGCUGCUCAUGCUUCAGAGGAAAACAUCUUGAAGACUGUGGAACUACUGCUGUCAAGGAAUGUCGACCCUAACCUUACUUGCAGACCUUGUGCUAACAUGCGAGGUAAUUCUGGAGUAGUACCAGAUCCAGUGUCCAGCUGUGGUAGUUCUUGCUUUCUCAAAUGAAAAGGUAACUGACAAUCCAAAAUGUAGCAUUUCAACCAAACAAAAGUAGAAGUUAGAUGACAAGAGCUGGAUUUUUUUUAUUUUUUUAUUUUUUUUCAAAAAUCUCCCUGCUGCCUUUUUUUCCCUUCCCAGUAUUUGACUUCAUGCAUACUGCUCCAUUAUUAGAAUUGCUUAGGCAGUUUAGCUGCUGCUUUGUGGGGGCUUCUUCCAGUGUGUUCAGAAGCACUGGGAUGAAACCCAUCAGGAUUCUGGGAAGAUCAUGAAACUAAACACAUCCUCUGCAUGGCACUCAGGUCCUGCUUCGCCUGUUCUUUUAGAUCAGAGUGUUCCGUAAGAAGACGUCUGAACUGUCAGUGAGUUGAGAUUAUCAUGAGUCUUCACUAUGUGAUCAGUUCACUGCACGUUAAGAACUAAACUUUGCAUUAUUGGGUUAUCUCAGUACUUAAAAAACAGCGAUUUUAGGAAUCUUCCCUUGCAUCCACCAGCAACUGAAAUGUAUGUGAAUUCACAGCUGAAAAUCUAUCUGUGGCGUAAGACAGAGUUUGAUACUUGUUCUUUGUUGAUCUGGCAGUGAAGCCAUAUGGAUUGUUCUUUGAUUUCACAUCAUGUGGAGGUGAUAAACAGGAAUUUGAACGUUUUUUUUGACUAAUUCAUGAAGUGUGCAUGAUGAGGCAGAAGAGUGCUAAAAAAUAACCUGUUAUUUGAAAUGCAGUCUAAGAAAGAAGACAAGUUUAAGAGUGGAUAGGUAAAUGGUUUCUUUGCAAUAGAAUAGAAUACUAAGGAGAAAGUACUAAGCAGAGUAACUUCUGUUAUUUUUGCCGAAUUAAAAUCGGGAAGUAAAUACUGGUGGCUAUAAAACCAGUUUUAUUGAGAAGGUAGUGUAUGAAAGUAGAAGUGCCAACUGCAGAGUUUUGAAAGACAAACAAGGUAUUGGAUAGGUGAAAUGAGAAAGCGUUGUAAGACCUGCUCUUAUGUAGUCUUUGCAGAGCUACUGUACUCUGAGUGCUUCAUCUAAGUGAAGGCUAGCUUGAGAAAUUAAAUGUUUUGAUCUUGUACGAUUUACCUCCCACUUGCUCUCAAAUGUAAAUGAUAUACUUAAGCCUUUUGUAAGGCCUGGAAAUAUUUAAGCAGACUCUUUAUUUGUUUGGUUUUGUUUUUUAAAAACUUCUUUUUAC